rnacentral:misc_RNA from 1 species
GUGAAUCAUCGAAUCUUUGAACGCAACUUGCGCUCCCGGGAUAUGCCUGGGAGCAUGCUUUCUUGAGCGUCGGUUCUAUCAUCAUCUCACUGAUCUUUUUUGGAUUAGUGGAGAAUGAGUUUCCAAUAGUGUUCACUCGCUGUUGGAGGCUUGAAAUAAUUGAUUGGGGCAUCUCUUAGCGAAUCGAUCUCGAGGCGCACUAUAUGCUCUGUGACGUGGAUAAUUUCACCUUCAGUGGUGUAUCCUCAACGUUGCAGAGUAGCAUCUUGAGGCUUGGUUGGCACCGAUAAAAAGGGGAGA